CGACUUUUCAAAGAGAAAAAAGAAAUCGGUGUUUCGCUCCAUGCAACUCUUUCACUAUGAACCAAAUCUCAAUCCCGAAAGAGAUUUUGGCACUUGUGGGAAAACAGAAAGAAGAAAAGGAAAAAAAAUUUUAGAGAAGAAACCAUCCGAAGAUUUCAGCAUUAUUGUUCUUUCCAUACAGAAUCAGAUAUGCCCAUUUUCGAGCUUCCACCACGACCUCAUACCCAUCUCAUAUGAUGGAAUCAAAUGAUUGGUACAGAUUUUUAGAGGAUUCUACAAUGGCGAUCGGCAAAUGAUACCGAUACACCAUUCUGCUGUGUCCUCGUGUCGCCAUGAACCGGAAGUCGGAGCUUUGCCCUUAUACCCAGGGGCACCCGCGUCUGCCCCAAGGCCGUAUACAACUAAUUCUCUGUUAUACACAUGCAUGAUUAUUGGGAAAUCCAAAUCACAAAGUGAUACAAUCCAAGGAAAUUGGUACUCUUGACUUAGCUAUACUAAUGUAGCAUACUAUUUAAUGUAUUUAGCUUGUGUUCAGUAAGUUCUUGUUCUUCACUUUUGCCAUGUCUUGACUAAACCUUCUUUUUACUUAACGGACAUCUUUACAUUAAACCAUCACUUUUAAUCAAUCUCAUGAUAAAAUCCUGUUCUGCAUAGUUUCCUUUAGCGUUUGAAAAUAUUUCUGGUUUCAUGUUUAUUUAUUUAUCUGUAUUGAUCCGCAUUUAAUAAUUUUGUGAUCGUUGAGUCAAUAACCAUCAUUGCAACUUUCACCAUUGGAAAAACAGAAUAUAGGAGGCAUUAGAUAAUGUAGUUACCUUCCAUUUGAUCGUUUUAGAGUUUUAAAGAGCCCAUUCUUUUGUCUGAAGACAAAAAAUGGCAGUGCAAUGUUGAAAGAGAGAAUCACAGUCUCUCAAGCAUCAGAAAUGUCGAAUUUGACCAGAUGUCAUUCCAUCAGCUGUUUCAACCAGUAGACAUACAUGAUUUACAGACAAGAUAGCAAAAUCCCAUCAAGAAGCUGUUAAAAAGCCCAGACCGACCCGACAUUGACAAUAUUAGGUAUUUGGUUGUACUGUUCUACUAUCUGCAAUUUACAGUAGGUAGGUGUAAAAUCGAUACAUCACUCUCUGGUAGUUUUGUUUUCAGCGUUUUGUGGACUUGUGCAAAAAACACUAUCUUGUUUGCCUAGAGAGAAAGUGAAUAUAGGAAGCAAAUUCAUGUGAUUUGUGACAACAGAUAACUAAUGCCCCAUUUGCAGUCAAAAGGGCUACCCAAGUGGAAGCAACUGUGCUCUCUUUAUCAUUUCCUCAUCUGUUUCUCCAUCUCCUGUUCCUCAUGUGAUCUUGUCCCCUGCAGCAUUAUGCUUAAACCUUAAACAUCAAUAUUUCAACACUAAUGAAUAAAGAAAGCACCAAUAUGGAUUCCAUACUUAGCAACUAAUUUAUUUUAUGCCAUUUUAUUGCUUGGGAAUCUAGCCUUGUCCAGCUGAACCAGCUUAGUUGAUCCACCAUUUUCCUAAAAUAUUAAUGUUAAAAUAAGUCUAGACAAAAAAUUAUUUUUAAUACUUCUCCUUUUUUAGGCAACCUCACUCCUAGCCAAUCAACACCACAUAUUUUUGGUUAUCUAUCGACAUCCUCUUGACAUCCUUCUCCUCUUCUUUCCCUCCUUCCUCUCCUUUGUUGAAGGAACGUUUUAAAUUCUCCUUGAAGUCUCUAACUUUUUACAGAGAUUAUCCAGUGGUACCAGUGGAGGAGAGAAACACGAUUGGUAGAUGAUGGUUGUAUUUCUUGGGUAAUGAGUAAAGGCACGAAGCAAAAAGGUGAGGCGAGUGAAGAACAUGUGUGAACUGAAAUAAAUAAGGGCUUUUUUGGUUCUUUCUCACAGUUCCUUCUUUUCCUUCCUCCUCUUAAGUUCUGGGUGAACAAAGAAACAAUAAGAACGCACAUCUAAUAGUCAUGGAGAGAGAAAGUAAAGUUUAAACCAAAUAGACAGAAUUUGAUGAAGAAUUGAGACUUGCUUUCAAA